rnacentral:rRNA from 1 species
CAGUAGCCGCGGGAAAACGGAGGGGGCUAGCGUUGUUCGGAAUUACUGGGCGUAAAGCGCACGUAGGCGGCUUGGUAAGUUAGAGGUGAAAGCCCGGAGCUCAACUCCGGAAUUGCCUUUAAGACUGCCGAGCUAGUAGGUGAGAGAGGUAAGUGGAAUUCCGAGUGUAGAGGUGAAAUUCGUAGAUAUUGGGAAGAACACCAGUGGCGAAGGCGGCUCACUGGACCGACACUGACGCUGAGGCGCGAAAGCGUGGGGAGCAAACAGGAUUAGAUACCCGCGUAGUCCCUGUCUCUUAUAC